UACGUAGGGGGCAAGCGUUGUCCGGAUUUAUUGGGCGUAAAGAGCGUGUAGGCGGCCAUACAGGUCAGCUGUGAAAACUCGAGGCUCAACCUCGAGACGUCGGUUGAAACCGUUUGGCUAGAGUCCGGAAGAGGAGAGUGGAAUUCCCGGUGUAGCGGUGAAAUGCGCAGAUAUCGGGAAGAACACCCGUGGCGAAGGCGGCUCUCUGGGACGGUACUGACGCUGAGACGGCGGAAAGCGGUGGGGAGCAAACAGGG
rnacentral:rRNA from 1 species